CGCAUCUGUGCAUGCAGCAUAUCAAUAAGCGGAGGAAAAGAAACUAACAAGGAUUCCCUUAGUAACGGCGAGUGAAGCGGGAAGAGCUCAAAUUUGAAAUCUUCAAGGUUUUACCUUGACGAAUUGUAGUUUAAAGAAGUGUUUUCUGCUGAAGUUUUGGUAAAAGUUCUUUGGAAUAGGACAUCAUAGAGGGUGAGAAUCCCGUAUUUGACCAUUAUUUUCAGCUUUGUGAUACACUUUCAAAGAGUCGGAUUGUUUGGGAAUGCAAGUCCAAAAUGGGUGGUAAAUUUCAUCUAAAGCUAAAUAUUGGCGAGAGACCGAUAGCGAACAAGUACCGUGAGGGAAAGAUGAAAAGAACUUUGAAAAGAGAGUUAAACAGUACGUGAAAUUGUCAAAAGGGAAGCGUUUGACACCAGUGUUGUUUUCUCGAAAAUCAAUUAAAAAUGGCUCGAUUUUGUAUUGCUGAGAUCUUAAAAGCUCACUGUACAUUUUUCGUGUCUUUUUUAAUGCACUUUUCGUUUAACAAGUCAACAUCAGUUUCUUUUGUUGUAAAAGGGUCAUUGGAAGGUGGCUUUCUUUUCGGAGAAAGUGUUUAUAGCCUUUGGCCUCUGCAAUCGGAGAGACUGAGGUCUGCAGCGUAGACUCUUCGGGGUUAGAUACAUUUGUGCUAAGUUAUAGCUUUUUAUAGACAACUUGUUGACUAUAAUUAGUCUUGUAGCUUACUCGCUUAUGCUAUUUUACCUACGCUUAGGAUGUUGACGCAUGAGAUAUACGC
rnacentral:rRNA from 1 species